ACUCAGGUGGCACAAUGGGCCAGUGUACCUGGCUGUUAACCAGAAGUUUGGUGGUUUGAAGCCACCCAAUGAUGGCUGUGGGCA